AAAAAGAUAAGCUAAACAAGCUACUGGGUUCAUACCCCAUUUAUGAAAGUUCUAACCUUUCUCUUUUUA
rnacentral:tRNA from 1 species